rnacentral:rRNA from 1 species
AAGUCGAACGGGAAUUACUUUAUUGAAACUUCGGUCGAUUUAAUUUAAUUCUAGUGGCGGACGGGUGAGUAACGCGUGGGUAACCUGCCUUAUACAGGGGGAUAACAGUCAGAAAUGACUGCUAAUACCGCAUAAGCGCACAGAGCUGCAUGGCUCGGUGUGAAAAACUCCGGUGGUAUAAGAUGGACCCGCGUUGGAUUAGCUUGUUGGGGGGGUAACGGCCCACCAAGGCGACGAUCCAUAGCCGGCCUGAGAGGGUGAACGGCCACAUUGGGACUGAGACACGGCCCAGACUCCUACGGGAGGCAGCAGUGGGGAAUAUUGCGCAAUGGGGGAAACCCUGAUGCAGCGACGCCGCGUGAAGGAAGAAGUAUCUCGGUAUGUAAACUUCUAUCAGCAGGGAAGAUAGUGACGGUACCUGACUAAGAAGCCCCGGCUAACUACGUGCCAGCAGCCGCGGUAAUACGUAGGGGGCAAGCGUUAUCCGGAUUUACUGGGUGUAAAGGGAGCGUAGACGGUGUGGCAAGUCUGAUGUGAAAGGCAUGGGCUCAACCUGUGGACUGCAUUGGAAACUGUCAUGCUUGAGUGCCGGAGGGGUAAGCGGAAUUCCUAGUGUAGCGGUGAAAUGCGUAGAUAUUAGGAGGAACACCAGUGGCGA